GAUGAACGCUAGCUACAGGCUUAACACAUGCAAGUCGAGGGGUAACAAGGGGAAAGCUUGCUUUCCUUGUUGACGACCGGCGCACGGGUGAGUAACGCGUAUCCAACCUGCCUAUAACUAGGGAAUAACCUUGCGAAAGUAAGACUAAUACCCUAUGAUUUCCUUUGAUGACAUCAGAUUAGGAAUAAAGAUUUAUCGGUUAUAGAUGGGGAUGCGUCUGAUUAGCUUGUUGGCGGUGUAACGGCCCACCAAGGCAACGAUCAGUAGGGGUUCUGAGAGGAAGGUCCCCCACAUUGGAACUGAGACACGGUCCAAACCCCUACGGGAGGCAGCAGUGAGGAAUAUUGGUCAAUGGGCGGAAGCCUGAACCAGCCAAGUAGCGUGCAGGAUGACGGCCCUAUGGGUUGUAAACUGCUUUUAUACAGGAAUAAAGUUAGCCACGUGUGGUUAUUUGUAGGUACUGUAUGAAUAAGGACCGGCUAAUUCCGUGCCAGCAGCCGCCGUAA
rnacentral:rRNA from 1 species